rnacentral:rRNA from 1 species
UACGAAGGGGGCUAGCGUUGCUCGGAAUCACUGGGCGUAAAGCGCACGUAGGCGGAUCUUUAAGUCAGGGGUGAAAUCCCAAGGCUCUACCUUGGAACUGCCUUUGAUACUGGGGAUCUCGAGUCCGGAAGAGGUUGGUGGAACUGCGAGUGUAGAGGUGAAAUUCGUAGAUAUUCGCAAGAACACCAGUGGCGAAGGCGGCCAACUGGUCCGGUACUGACGCUGAGGUGCGAAAGCGUGGGGAGCAAACAGG